CCUACGGGAGGCAGCAGUAGGGAAUCUUCGGCAAUGGGGGCAACCCUGACCGAGCAACGCCGCGUGAGUGAAGAAGGUUUUCGGAUCGUAAAGCUCUGUUGUAAGUCAAGAACGGGUGUGAGAGUGGAAAGUUCACACUGUGACGGUAGCUUACCAGAAAGGGACGGCUAACUACGUGCCAGCAGCCGCGGUAAUACGUAGGUCCCGAGCGUUGUCCGGAUUUAUUGGGCGUAAAGCGAGCGCAGGCGGUUUGAUAAGUCUGAAGUUAAAGGCUGUGGCUCAACCAUAGUUCGCUUUGGAAACUGUCAAACUUGAGUGCAGAAGGGGAGAGUGGAAUUCCAUGUGUAGCGGUGAAAUGCGUAGAUAUAUGGAGGAACACCGGUGGCGAAAGCGGCUCUCUGGUCUGUAACUGACGCUGAGGCUCGAAAGCGUGGGGAGCGAACAGGAUUAGAUACCCUGGGUAGU
rnacentral:rRNA from 1 species